UACGUAGGGUCCGAGCGUUGUCCGGAAUUACUGGGCGUAAAGAGCUCGUAGGUGGUUUGUCGCGUUGUUCGUGAAAACUCACAGCUCAACUGUGGGCGUGCGGGCGAUACGGGCAGACGUAGAGUACUGCAGGGGAGACUGGAAUUCCUGGUGUAGCGGUGAAAUGCGCAGAUAUCAGGAGGAACACCUGCGGCGAAGGCGGGUUGCUGGGCCGACACUGACGCUGGAGGCGCGAAAGCUAGGGGAGCGAACGGG
rnacentral:rRNA from 1 species